rnacentral:rRNA from 1 species
UACGGAGGAUGCGAGCGUUGUCCGGAUUUAUUGGGUUUAAAGGGUGCGUAGGCGGACGCUUAAGUCAGCGGUAAAAUUGCGGGGCUCAACCUCGUCGAACCGUUGAAACUGGGUGUCUUGAGUGGGCGAGAAGUACGCGGAAUGCGUGGUGUAGCGGUGAAAUGCAUAGAUAUCACGCAGAACUCCGAUUGCGAAGGCAGCGUACCGGCGCCCAACUGACGCUGAAGCACGAAGGCGUGGGUAUCGAACAGG